rnacentral:rRNA from 1 species
CUAUCUAUUUGAGCGGAGUCAUGCAUAAUGCCUUUGAAGAAGUAGAAAAUUAAAUCAAACCUUAAUACAGACAUGGCGGUAAGACAUCCACUCAGAGAAAUAUGCCAAUUAAAUUGAUAAUACCCACUGCAUUGUACUUAACCUUGAAAUCCAUCCUGUAUACCGCCGCCUAAAGGCUAGCUUAGUAGUGCUAGUCUAAACCAAGCUUGACUUGAAUAAGACAGGUCCAGGUGCAGACCAUGGUUAAGGGUUAGGCGUAUUGCUUCAAAAAAAUUAAUGGAUCUAUAAUAUGAAAAUACAUAGUGAAUUGAGG